rnacentral:rRNA from 1 species
AUUGAACGCUGGCGGCAUGCUUUACACAUGCAAGUCGAACGGCAGCGCGGGCUUCGGCCUGGCGGCGAGUGGCGAACGGGUGAGUAAUGCAUCGGAACGUGCCCAGUAGUGGGGGAUAGCCCGGCGAAAGCCGGAUUAAUACCGCAUACGACCUGAGGGUGAAAGCGGGGGACCGAAAGGCCUCGCGCUAUUUGAGCGGCCGUUGUCGGAUUAGCUAGUUGGUGGGGUAAAGGCUUACCAAGGCGACGAUCCGUAGCUGGUCUGAGAGGACGACCAGCCACACUGGGACUGAGACACGGCCCAGACUCCUACGGGAGGCAGCAGUGGGGAAUUUUGGACAAUGGGGGCAACCCUGAUCCAGCCAUGCCGCGUGCGGGAAGAAGGCCUUCGGGUUGUAAACCGCUUUUGUUCGGGAAGAAAUCCUCUGGGCUAAUACCCCGGGGGGAUGACGGUACCGGAAGAAUAAGCACCGGCUAACUACGUG